ACCCACCAGGAUGAAAGGCCUUUUCCUAUUGGUCACUCUCGAUUAAAGUCACAGGUUGACCACGCCCACUCCGUUUCCCCGGAAUCCCUGCCACUGGCGCCGCAGUCUGAGAGAAGAGCGAGCGAGGGUGCAUCAUGAUGAGCAACAGGUCGUGUAAUGGGAAGAAGAUUUGGUGUUGAUGGAGGAGGCAACAUCUUCAAGGCAAAACCUUAGACCUGAUGCAACAUCAUCCAAUGUCACAGUCACCCUUUAGGAGGCACUUGAUGCCCAAUAUGCACAGGAACAUUUCCAUUGUCAGAACUAGACCUGCCAUGACAGCUUUUGUGGAGACAGAUAAUGUGAGGAGGAUGUGAUUUGUCAUGCAGCAGCACAGAUAAACACCACAAAGACAUCUGAAGUCUGUCACGAGAUAACCCGUCUGAAGUUGUGGAAAUGUUGAAAAACAGGAAUUCCAGUCAAUCCCUUGAAAAUCACCUUCCUUGAAGAGCCUGUAAAAAUAAAUCAAUAAAAUUAUAUGUAUAUAAAGCUAAAAACA